rnacentral:misc_RNA from 1 species
GGCUGGAUCACCUCCUUUCUAAGGAGUACAAAGAACGACAGUUCAAUUAAAAUUCUUGGUUUUAUCACUAUAUGGGCCUGUAGCUCAGCUGGUUAGAGCGCACGCCUGAUAAGCGUGAGGUAGGUUCGAGUCCCCCCAGGCCCACCACUACAACAUUAGGAACCUGACAAUUAAAGAGAAAUAUAUUUCUGGUCAAGCGACCAAGGGCAUAAGGUGAAUGCCUUGGCACUGAGAGCCGAAGAAGGACGUGACAAGCUGCGAAAAGUCUCGGGGAGGAGCAAAUAUCCAUUGAUC